UGCCAGCCGCCGCGGUAACACGGGGGGCGCAAGCGUUAUUCGGAAUUAUUGGGCGUAAAGGGCGCGCAGGCGGUCUUGUCCGUCAGGUGUGAAAGCUCGGGGCUCAACCCCGGAAGUGCACUUGAAACAGCAAGACUUGAAUACGGUAGAGGAGAGAGGAAUUCCUGGUGUAGAGGUGAAAUGCGUUGAUAUCAGGAGGAACACCGGUGGCGAAGGCGGCUUCCUGGGCCGAUACUGACGCUGAGGCACGAAAGCGUUGGGUAGCAAACGGGAUUAGAUA
rnacentral:rRNA from 1 species